AUUGAACGCUGGCGGCAGGCCUAACACAUGCAAGUCGAGCGAGUGGCGGACGGGUGAGUAAUGUAUGGGGACUGCCCGAUAGAGGGGGAUAACUACUGGAAACGGUGGCUAAUACCGCAUACUAUCGGAUAACCCAUAUGGGAUUAGCUAGUAGGUGGGGUAAAGGAUCACCUAGGCGACGAUCUCUAGCGGGUCUGAGAGGAUGAUCAGCCACACUGGGACUGAGACACGGCCCAGACUCCUACGGAGGCAGCAGUGGUGAAUAUUGCACAAUUGGCGCAAGCCUGAUGCAGCCAUGCCGCGUGUAUGAAGAAGGCCUUAGGUUUGUAAAGUACUUUCAGCGGGGAGGCGUUACCCGCAGAAGAAGCACCGGCUAACUCCGUGCCAGCAGCCGCGGUAAUAC
rnacentral:rRNA from 1 species